CAAGAUCAUCCAAAUCCUCUCAAAUCUUGCAAGACAAUUCUCUCUCUUCCUCCGCCCCAUUUUUGACACUCCCUCUCUCUCCCUCAUCUCUCACUUUCCACCAUUGUCAACCAUUAAUGAGACCUUCAAAGCUUCACAAAAUUAUGCCAAACACAUAAAUCACCAUCAAAAUCUUACCUAAACACCUCCUAUCUACUUGAAUCCAAGAAGAUCAUUGAAGAUUGGUUUCAAAGCUAGAAAGAGAAAGUGUGAGUUUUGGUGUAAGUUUGGGCCCGAGCGAGACGAAGAAGUAAGUCACCUGAUUUCUUUCCCGGAUUAGCGAAGGACUUCAGGCUAAGCAGGGAGCGAGAUUGGUCUGGUGCUGGUGGGGGAACGUUUCAAUCGACGUAGUUAUAUUUCUGUAUUGCCUUUAUGUUAAUAGAGUCAUAACAAUUUGAGAUACUUUGCUUUCUUUUGAGAUCAAGCAAUUUACUCACGGUUAUGUGUCUUCAUACAUAUAAUCGGUUCGCCUUUUGCUGCGAUACUCUGAAUAUUAUUCUUCCUUAUGAAAAAUGAGUUAUACCCGUUUUGUUUUUGUUCGUGAAAUUCCUGAUAUUUAUAAAGUUAUGACGAUGUUGACGUUUUUA